CUUAAUAGUAGCAUGGCUAACUUCCUAACAGCUUGGCUAACUUCCUGGCAGCUUGGCUAACUUUCUAGUAGCUGGACUAACUUCCAGUUAGCAUGGCCAACUUCCUGGUAGCUUGGCUAACUUCCUAAUAGCAUGGCAAAAUUCAUAGUAGCAUGGCUAACUUCCUAGUACCAUGGCUAACUUCCUGGUAGCUUGGCUAACUUUCUGGGAGCCUGUCUAACUUCCUAGUAGCAUGGCUAACUCUCUGGUAACAUGGCUAACUUCCUGGUGGCUUGGCUAACUUUCUGGUAGCCGGACUAACUUUCUAGUAGCAUGAUUAACUUCCUGGUAGCAUGGUUACCUUCCUGGUAGGUUAGCUAACUUUCUGGUAGUCGGACUAACUUCCUGGUAGCAUGGCUAACUUCCUAGUAGCAUGGUUACCUUCCUGAUAGCUUGGCUAACUUCCUGGUAGCUUGGCCAGCUUCCUGGCAGCCAGGCUAACUUAUUUGUAGCAUGGCUAAAUUCUGUUUGGUUCUUUGAACUUUCCUGUCAUAAAGUGGCUUUUGGGUUUUUUGUAUAAAUUUGGUAGUUUUUUUGAUCCUGCAGCAUUUUUAUGUUGUUUGCGUAUGUAUCAUUUAUGCACGUUUGUCCUCGUCGCAUACCAUAAGACACAACACUAUCGCCAUAGCAACUCUUGCUCUUCGCCGGCUUUACCUGGACAAUUAGGAACAUCGCAGACGAAGGACGUAGACCCCGCCCCUCUGCCACAGGCCAGACACAUGUCUGAUGACGAGGCCAGCAGGUCAGACAGGUAAGCUCCUCCCCUUGGUAGCCUGGCGUACACAAUGGUGCUCAUCAUUUCCCUGCAGCCAAACAUCCAGACGUGACCGAGGACUCACCUCAGCAACAGCGCAGCAAGAUGGCGGCGUAGCUGCUCUUCAUGCGCCUGCUUCUUGGGCCUCACCCUCACUAGCGCCCUUCCCGUCGCCCUCCUAUUGUCCAUGAUCAGCUGGCGCAGGAAUUUGACACGCUCCUGUAAAAACAGGAGGGAAUACCAACGCUGAUCGGGAACCGAGUCCAGAACCAGCAGGUGUCAAACGAGCGUGUACAUACCAGCUCGGUCUCAGGAUAGAGAUAAGCGCACAUGAGUCGUCGGGCGCGCUGCACAGGUCCUCCGACGAGCGACACCAGCAGGGCCAGACCUAAAAGGAAGCCUGAGACCAAAAAGGCGGCGUAUCAGAACUGGACCAUGGCACCAAGCUGAUGUCACGUCCUGCAGCGCCCCUACCUAAGGACGUUGAAUGACGCCACCACGUCCCGCAUGAUGUCCGCCAUAUAACCCGACCCGUUAACCUGCACCGCCACGGAGACCGGAGCUGUGGGACAGAGGGACACGGUCGCCGUGGUUACCUCAGUCACGACAGCACCGACGACCAUCGCUCACCUUGACCCAGGACGUCGCUCUGGACCUGGCGGUGCACCUGGUCCAGGAGCCAAAAGACCAGGAAGUCCAGCGCCACCAGCAGGCCGGCCGCCAACGCGUGCCUCAGCACCCAGGCCCCGCCCACCAGGGCCACCCGCCACUCACGGCUCGUUAGUCGCAACGACACUGCGGUAAAAGACGCCUCAUGGUCACUCGGUUCCGUCAAACGCGGAACUGACGCUGACCUGCGCAUGUACUCACGCGGCGUGAUGAACAUGGUCGACUCUCUGCGAGUGAUCGGCAAGACGGAAGCCCCGCCCCCAGCGGUCACCUGACGGUCCAGCUCUACAAACUGAGCGCUGAUGUAUAUGUUGUCAAAACUCAUCAGACUCAAGUAUCUGCGUCUGUACUGCACGGCCCUGCGCACACACACAC